GGGACCUUGGCGCAGUUGGCUAGCGCGCAGGUCUCAUAGCUCUCCUAUGAUCUGGUGAAAUAAAACAUCGGAGUAAUCCUGAGGUCGGGAGUUCGAGCCUCCCAGGUCCCA